CUCUUCACCAGCUUCUGCAAAGCUGCAGUAGCACAAUAGCUGGCAGAGCUUCCCAAGAGGAGUGAACGUUGUCAUCUGCACUUUGGUGAUGAGCUGAGCCAGGGCAGAAAGUCACAUUGAUGGAUCUGGAAAGGCAGCCCUGGUGUGCAGCACAGAGGUUUGGAGCAUUUGCUGCCAUUAUUCCCUGGUUUUUCCUGGCUGAGGACAUAAAGGGUGACACAGCAAGGGCCAGCACCACCUUCCCUUGUGCUGCAGGUCCUGCAGGAAAACCCAGCCCAGAUUUCCAGGUGUGGCCCUGCUUGCUCAGGCUGGACAGAGGUGUAAUAUGUGUAUAUAUAUCGUUUAUAACAGAGGAAUCCAUCCUUCAGCCCACCCACAUCAGCACAGCAAGAGCUGGAACUGCAGCACGUGUGGAACAUCCUGUGCUGGUUGUGCUGCAUUGGUCUGGGGAUUAA
rnacentral:lncRNA from 1 species